UACAGAGGUCUCAAGCGUUGUUCGGGUUCAUUGGGCGUAAAGGGUGCGUAGGCGGCGCGGUAAGUCGGGUGUGAAAUCUCGGGGCCUAACUCCGAAACUGCAUUCGAUACUGCCGUGCUUGAGGACUGGAGAGGAGACUGGAAUUUACGGUGUAGCGGUGAAAUGCGUAGAUAUCGUAAGGAAGACCAGUGGCGAAGGCGGGUCUCUGGACAGUUCCUGACGCUGAGGCACGAAGGUCAGGGGAGCAAACGGG
rnacentral:rRNA from 1 species